AUCCAGUUGACGAGUCCCAAAUAGGAAGAAACGCGUUUCAAAGUGGAU
rnacentral:hammerhead_ribozyme from 1 species